rnacentral:misc_RNA from 1 species
UCCGAGUUGACCCCGGCAGUCUCCUAUGAGUCCCCGCCAUAACGCGCUGGCAACAUGCGACGAGGGUUGCGCUCGUUGCGGGACUUAACCCAACAUCUCACGACACGAGCUGGCGACAGCCAUGCACCACCUGUGACCGUGCCCAGAAGGGAGGGUGUGUUUCCACACCUGUCACGGACAUGUCAAACCCAGGUAAGGUUCUUCGCGUUGCGUCGAAUUAAACCACAUGCUCCGCUGCUUGUGCGGGCCCCCGUCAAUUCCUUUGAGUUUUAGCCUUGCGGCCGUACUCCCCAGGCGGGGAACUUAAUGCGUUAGCUGCGACACGGAGACCGUGGAAUGGCCCCCACAUCUAGUUCCCAACGUUUACGGCAUGGACUAC